GGCAGCUGCGUCCGCCUCUCCCUCCCUCCCUCCCUGACGAGCGGCGGCGGCGGCGGCGUCGCCCGCUCCUUUCCUUCCCUCUUCGCCGCCGCCGCCGCCGCCGCCUAUUCUCCUUCUUCCUCCCUCCUCCCUCACGGGCCACCGACCUCCUUCGCGCCGCUGCUCUUCGCCGCUCUGGCCGAGGGGCGGGCGAGGAGGAGGAGGAGCGCGAGGCCGCGGCGGCUGCGCGGAACGGGCGAGCGGGAGCGGGCGAAGGCGGCGAGAGGCGGCGGGUGGGUGGGUCGCUGGUUUCCCUCACUGGCCGGCCGGCUCGCUCUUUUCCCUCUCAGGGCGCCGGGACUACGGCUCCCGGCAGGCCCCGCGCGGCGCAAGCCGACGCGGCUUCCGGUCCCUGAGCGGAAGCGGAGGAGGAAGGAAGGAAGCGCAGCCGGGGCUUUCGGCGGGGAGGGGCGGGGCGAGAGGAGGGCGCUCGCGUCUCUCCAAGGCAACGGAGCACGCCAAUGGGAGGCGGCGGGGGGCGGGGCUUGGAGGGGAAAGGCGGAAGGUGACGGGCAGGCCCGGAGAGAGAGAGAGAGAGGAGAGGAGGAGGCCGGUGCCGCCUCCGGGCCUCUGCCGAUUAAACAUGCACCUGAAGUUGGAGGAGCUUGUUUUGAUGGCCUCAUCCUGGUUUGCAGUGCAGUGCCGCAAUUCUUCCAGACCUUCAGAAAUGGAUGGGUCAGAAAGGGGAGUAACAUGAUGGUAAGAAUCCUUAAGAAUAUUAAGCCUCUCACGGGAAUGCCUUCUACGUCACAUGCUACGGUUUAUUUCUGUAGAGCUUUUUGGCCCAAAGUCCCCCAAUGUGGUGAACAACAUUGUACAGUGGUACCUUGGUUUAUGAACUUAAUCCGUUCCAGAAGUCCGUUCUUAAACCAAAGCGUUUUUAAACCAAGGCGUGCUUUCCCAUAGCAGCGGGGGACUCAAUUUACAAAUGGAACACACUCGACAGGAAGCGGAACAUGUUCUCCUUCCAAGGCAAAGUUCACAAACACCUACUUUUUUACAGCGUUUUUAAUCCAAGUUGUUUAAAAACUAAGCUGUUCUUAAACCAAGGUACCACUGUAAUGCAAAGCAAAGUUGAAAUAAAAAUACAAGAAACAUGGUAAAUCAAUACUAUAAAGUGACACAAACACUAAAUACCCAUCAGCCACAUCAUGAACUGUACAGUGGUACCUCGGGUUAAGUACUUAAUUCAUUCCGGAGGUCCAUUCUUAACCUGAAACUGUUCUUAACCUGAAGCACCACUUUAGCUAAUGGGGCCUCCUGCUGCCGUGCCACCGGAGCCCAAUUUCUGUUCUCAUCCUGAAGCAAAGUUCUUAACCCGAGGUACUAUUUCUGGGUUAGCGGAGUCAGUAACCUGAAGCGUAUGUAACCUGAAGCAUUUGUAAUCCGAGGUACCACUGUAUUGAGCUGGACACAGCUUCCCAGCAUUCCCCUUCUCACUUAGAAGCCACCUUAAUUCGCAUUUCCACCCUCACCCUGGCCAAGUUUUAUUAUGUCAACUAUUAUUAAGCCUAUCCUCAAUCAGUCGCCCACGGGACGUGCCCUCCCUCUCGUCACGUCCUGAAAGAGAGACCCAAAGGCAGGAUACCCUUUUCUUUCACUCCCUUUUGAGCCCCUCAUUCAUUAUAAAUCAUAUCAAAAUAAUGUAUUCAAGCUGCAGCGUACGUCCAGAAUGAACAGACACACUGCAAAGGAGUAGUAGAGAGCAAAAUCUACUGCCCCGUGGUGGUUCUUCACUUUCUCUUUUUAUUACUGCUGCUUCUGUUUUCAAUUCUACAGCAGUUUCUGAGUGUUAGUGCUGUACCGCAGUGUUCCCCAACCUUGGGCCUCCAGCUGUUUUUGGACUACAACUCCCAUCAUCCUUGACCACUGGUCUUGCUAGCGAGGGAUGAUGGGAGUUGUAGUCCAAAAACAGCUGGAGGCCCAAGGUUGGGGAACACUGCUGUACCGGAGCAGGGAGAGGCAUAGUUCCUGCUGGGCGUGAACUGUGGUGCAGUACAGGCAGGGCAGCAAGGCUCAUGUGCCUUCCCAAUGCUGAGCAUCACUUUCAGUGAUUGAGAAGCCCAGGAAGCUCAGUGUGGGGUGGGUGGGGUGGCGGCGGCGCAGGCCAAUCUGAUGCGCCUGCCAUUGUGCCUGCACCGUGCUGAACUCUCCUCCCCACCUCUCAGGAACUUGCUGCAAUGGCCAUAGUUGGGAAGGCAGGUGAGUCAUUCUGCCCACUACCAGACCCUGCCCAGAGGUCUCCCUAACGGUCUUGGCAUGCAUUCGUAUAGCCCAUCGCUAUGCAUGUUUACUCAGAAAUGAGUUCAAGGGAAGUUAGGGCCAAGUAAGCAGGUUUCAGAGUUUGGGCAGAUUCGUAUGGGAGGAUACAGUCCUUCAGAUAGCCUGGGAUGAGCAAAUUAGAGCUUUAGGUUGUAGACAUAGUAAUGGUCAACACUCUGCUGCAAUUAGAAUACCUCUAAUGUGAGUGUUUUGUUGUGGAUUUGAGUUCCGGAUUAUAUAUGUUACAAUGACUUAUUUAAUAAUGAUAAUAAAUUUUAUUUAUAUCCCGCCCUCCCCAGCCGAAGCCGGGCUCAGGGCGGCUAACAACAAUAAAGCAGUACAAAAGUACAGCAUAAACAACACUCUAAAAUCAUUCAUUAUAAAAUUAAUUAAAUUUAAUUAAUUAAUUAGUUAAGCAAGACUUAUUUAGCUAAGAAACAUAUAAACUCCAUUCAGUGCUAAUGAACAUUCUUCAUUUUUAAUUUCAUCAGCAUUGAGUGAAGUUGGCAGGAAUCUUAAUUUGAAACAGGUUUUCUUAUUUUAAAAAGUUACAACAACCAAACAAACUAAAAUACAAUCUAAAAAUAACAAUAAUGGGAACAAAACAGUAACCAUAUUAUAUACGCCAGCAAACAGCAGCAAUAUAGGAACAUAUUGUUUUGAGGCCUCCACCAGAAAUGCCUGCCAGAAUAUAACUUGUAAUAAUAUACUUAAAAGUGAGGAAAGAAGGGGCCAGAUGAAGCACUCUUGGGAGCCACAUUCUUAUUUUUCUGCCACAUUUCAGCAUUUUUGAAAAGUUAUGCACACUAUUACAAUCUAAAUGAGUGCAGGCAAUGUACCAUGCUUAUAUACUUCGUGCUGAGUAUUAGUUGCUGCUUUGUUAUGCAUAAUUAAUAAAUGCUAAUCGGUAGCAUUUAAAUUGUUUUCAGAAUUUGUAGAAAUGCGACUUACCUUGUAUCUUAAUCUUGUACCUUUCCCUUGCUGUUCCUCUCCAUUCUGUCCUCACAACAACACUCCCGAGAAAGGUUAGGCUGAGACACGGUGAAGGGUCCAAGCUCAUUCAGUGAGCUUCAUAGCUGAGGAUAGAUUUGAACUCUGCUCUUCAAGGGCCUAGACUACCACACCACCCACUGUGUCACAGGAGCUCUUAGUGCUUGGAAAACCUUUAAAUUUUGUAGUAUAUUAAAGGCUAAGGCUGCAGUUCUAACCACUUUUUGCAGGGAGUAAGCUUCACGGAAUUCAACUGAACUUUCCUCCAAGUAACAGUGCUUAAGAUCACAUUGUAAUGUUUUUAUUUUUUAUGAGCACGAGGUUUGUAUAUUGCCCUUCAUACAGAUAUAUGCUAUUGCAGUGAUUCCAAAACUCUGAGUUCAAUUUGGUUAGUAUAGAGGGAGCCUGACAAAUGUGGUUUCUUGUGAAUACAGACAAGCACUUGGCUUGAGUAUGUAUAUGAAAAAUUGUAUACUAUAUUCUUUAACUUCUAACCUUGCUUCUUUUCCCCUCCUGGAAAUAUAAAAGUUGUUUCAGCUUGUCCCUGUAACCUGAGAGAUGAGGAUAGGGUACCUGCCAUUAACCUCAUUUGCUAAUGUGUUGACAUUAGUCUAAAGACUGAGAAAGAAAAGCCUUUGAAUGCUGUGGUCAGCAGUUGGCAGCUUCUUGGGUCUGUGUAACACCUUGCCAUUUAAAAAGCAGUAGAAGGUUGUCCAGGCACUGGGGCUUUUUGAAAAAGGGGUAAGAUGCCCACGAGUAAAGCAAGUAUUCAGUGGUAAAAUUAAUUUAUUUUCAGGAAUAACUCUCCCCAUUCUACUGUGUAUUCUAUAAAAAGGUUAGCUUGCUUAAAGCUUGAAUGUUUGGGUUGGUUUCCAGGCUUUGAUAUGCCUGUCCUCUUUAUGCUGGGAUAGUUCAGCCUGUAGCGCCUGAGACUCAUUUUCCGGUCUUGGGUCGGAGCCCUGAAUUGGGCAAAAGAUUUCUGCAUUGCAGGCGGUUGGGUUAAAUUACCAUGGUGGAUAAAGUAUGAAUUCUAUGAUUCUAAUAUGUCUUGUUUGAUUGGUUAAAAUAUUGAUAAGGUCCCCCUUUGAGCUGCAGAGGUAUUUUUCAUUUUACUGGCAGAUGCAUAAUAGAAAUUCAGGAGGAAAUGCUUCUGGGGUAAGGCUCCACCUGCUGAAUUCCUGCCUGUUGUGCGCAUCUGGGAGACGCUGGAGCUGCGUGUUUUGUUAAGCUGCAGUUUGAAACCAGGCGCGCCUGGAACUAGAAAACAUGCUCGUGAGAAUGCAGCCCAGGACGCGUAGUAACAGCAUUGACGGCUCCUGCCUUGAUUUGCAAUUGUGGCGGCUACUGCGCAGGCGCCCGCGGGAAACGCUUGGGUUAAGGCUGGGCGCGCAUGGCCCCGGUUGUGCGCAUGCGUCUCCUUCGAGCUUCCCCCUCCCACCUCCUGCUGCCUCGGAAGAGCGAAUAUGGGAGGGUCGCGCGUUGGCGCAUGAGCAGCAGCGACGCCCAGUGCUCACGUGGUAACAAGAUGGCGAGUAGUGGGUGUGGGGGGAAAAGAGGCUGCGGUGCGCAGGCGCAGACGGCGGCGACCGCCCUCUAUCGGCUGCGGCGGCCGCUGCGCUCUGUCAGCAACUCGAGGAUUUCGCCGAGUGUUUGGCGCGCGCGCGCGCUCGAGAGAGAGAGGAGAGAGGCUUGCUGCGACGGCCCGCUCCUACGCGCAUGCGUGCGCCGCGGCUGAGGCGCGGGCUGGGAGGGAAAUAUCUGGGCCGGGCGCGCGCGCGCCGUCUCGGGCGAGCUCGUAUUGUCCCGGCCGGGAGUCCAUGGAGAGUCCCGGACCGCCCUGAGGCGCUGAGGAGGAGGAGGCGGCGGCUGCUGCUGUUCCUGAGGCGGAGCGGCCUGCC
ensembl:lncRNA